UACGGAGGGUGCAAGCGUUGUCCGGAUUUAUUGGGUUUAAAGGGUGCGUAGGCGGCUUUUUAAGUCAGCGGUGAAAUACUUCAGCUCAACUGGAGUCGUGCCGUUGAUACUGGGAAGCUUGAGUACUGAUGAAGUGGGCGGAAUUGAAGGUGUAGCGGUGAAAUGCAUAGAUAUCAUCAGGAACACCGGAGGCGAAGGCGGCUCACUGGGUCUCUUCUGACGCUGAGGAACGAAAGCUAGGGGAGCAAACGGG
rnacentral:rRNA from 1 species